GAUGAACGCUGGCGGCGUGCUUAACACAUGCAAGUCGAACGGAAAGGCCCCAGCUUGCUGGGGUACUCGAGUGGCGAACGGGUGAGUAACACGUGGGUGAUCUGCCCUGCACUUUGGGAUAAGCUUGGGAAACUGGGUCUAAUACCGAAUAUGACCACUUCUUGGAUGUUGUGGUGGAAAGCUUUUGCGGUGUGGGAUGAGCCUGCGGCCUAUCAGCUUGUUGGUGGGGUAAAGGCCUACCAAGGCGGCGACGGGUAUCCGGCCUGAGAGGGUGUACGGACACAUUGGGACUGAGGUACGGCCCAGACUCCUACGGGAGGCAGCAGUGGGGAAUAUUGCACAAUGGGCGCAAGCCUGAUGCAGCGACGCCGCGUGGGGGAUGAAGGCCUUCGGGUUGUAAACUCCUUUCGCUAUCGACGAAGCCACUUGUGGUGACGGUAGGUAGAUAAGAAGCACCGGCUAACUACGUGCCAGCCGCCGCAGUAA
rnacentral:rRNA from 1 species